CGUUCUCUGCCGUGAACGACAGCGUGUGCAAACAUUCGCCUUGUCCCUUUAAUGACGACCACGGGGUGGCGACGGAAUUGGGUGUGCAGGUCCGCCUCGUAGCGGGAAGCCCGAUGGUUCCCCAGCUAUCCCACUUGAACCCUGGGUUCAAGGUCGUUUCGCACGCAUCGUCAUGGCGGAGAAUGC
rnacentral:other from 1 species